rnacentral:rRNA from 1 species
UUGGCUAUACCUGAAGACGGUGCGCUAACCGCAAGGAGGCAGCCGGCCACGGUAGGGUCAGCGACUGGGGUGAAGUCGUAACAAGGUARCCGUAGGUGAACCUGCAGAAGGAUCA